UUCCCAGUGUCAAAUAUUCUGAGUUGAUCCGUGUUGAUUGUGGUGUUCUUUUAGCACUUACAGUGUUAAAACAGCUCUGGGGGCGGAGUUAUUGCGGCGAGUUAAGUGAUGCUCUCCUGACCGAGUUACUUGCACAUCCGGUUUCAACGCGCUCUUUCUUCUUGAAGUCACGGUGAAGAAAACCCGUGGUCAGGAAGAUAUUUAGCUGUUAUUUCAGAAGGUAAGUACACAUUAUAUUUACUUCUACAGGCUGUUCAUCUUCAUAUGAAAUGACGUGUUUUAUAUUUUAGUGAAGCUUGUGACUAAUAGCUAAUUUAACGUUUGCUAACGUUAGUUGGUUGAAGGGAGGAGAAAUAAGCCAGGAAGUGUAACAUCAGUCAAUAAAUAUGUAUGAACCUGUUCAAACCGGCCGAGCAUAUUUAAUUCCAGGCCAAAAUAAUAAAUAGACUUUUUUUCUUUCAGUAAAUUUCUUGAAGAAUAUUUAACUUAAUUAUGCCACAUUAUUUUGCCAUCAGAAAUUCGACGAUCCACCAUGACAGGACAUAAACGAGUUUCCGGUACUUCUGCCUCGAGGGCUAGCUUUACUAACGGUAGUUUCGCGGUACUGCUGUCUCGCGCGCUAACAUUACUAACGGUAGUUUCGCGGUACUGCUGUGUCGAGGGCUAACGGUAGUUUCGCGGUACUGCUGUGUCGAGGGCUAACGGUAGUUUCGCGGUACUGCUGUGUCGAGGGCUAACGUUAGUUUCGCGGUACUGCUGUCUCGCGCGCUAACAUUACUAACGGUAGUUUCGCGGUACUGCUGUCUCGAGGGCUAACGUUACUAACGGUAGUUUCGCGGUACUGCUGUGCCGAGGGCUAACGUUAGUUUCGUGUUACUGCUGUGUCGAGGGCUAACGGUAGUUUCGCGGAACUGCGGUCUCGCUGUCUUGCAUUUCACCGGCGUAUGGUUUAAUUGGCCGACUUUUAUCGCAGGUAUAUGCUAAACUGCGACAGGGACUAAAGAGGAAAAAGCGAGUGCCUAAUUGAUACCAAAACGGUAAUUAUAGACUUCCAACAUCUCAGAGACUAAGGUUCUAACGUUAACUUAGCUAUACCCUGUAACUUUAGCCACUUGUUGGACUUAAUACAUGUUUAAUAACUCCUUGCCUAGAGAAAGUUGAACAGCUAUCUUUUUCCACUCUGUACAGUUUCUGCAAGAUAUCACCAUGCUGCUGAAGGUGAGAUACCAGAGGACCAAGAAGUACAUCCGAUUACAGCUAGGUUUCACCUAUUUGGAAUUCAUCACUGCAGAUGGUAGAAAAUGCCUUGCUCACCAAACCUGGAGGUGAAGAUGUCCUUGAAGAGUACAAGUCAGGAAAUUCGCUGAAGCACCGCACCCGUAGACAGCUUGUCAACAUAUUGGCCAUAUGACUGAAAUGGAUGGCUGAAUCAAGACUUCACGCUGGUGUUUGGUGCUGAGACGGCUUCCAAGAUGCUCGAGAAGUGGGAUACAGCAUUCAAGCCCACGGUCAUCAAAGAGGCCAAACACCUGACUCCGUCAACUGAGCUGUGCCAACUUCUGACAGCUGCAGAGAACCUUCCAGAAGAUGAUC